rnacentral:rRNA from 1 species
UACGUAGGGUGCAAGCGUUGUCCGGAAUUAUUGGGCGUAAAGAGCUCGUAGGCGGUCUGUCGCGUCGGCUGUGAAAACUCGGGGCUCAACCCCGAGCCUGCAGUCGAUACGGGCAGACUAGAGUGCGGUAGGGGAGACUGGAAUUCCUGGUGUAGCGGUGAAAUGCGCAGAUAUCAGGAAGAACACCGAUGGCGAAGGCAGUUCUCUGGGCCGUAACUGGCGCUGAGGAGCGAAAGCGUGGGGAGCGAACAGG